GAAGUGCAUUGUGGGAUACCUUCCUUGCCGGGCGCCAUCUUGAACCAAGUGGUUGUGUAGUUUCUUUUGAAGUUUGAAUUUAUUGUAUUUGUCACAAUGUACUCCCUAGCGCUAAGGCGACUAGCUACACCAUUAGCUGUUCGAUCUACGUCUGCCCUGGGUGUGACAGUUCGCAACAUGAGCAGUAACAAACCUGUGGAGUCAGAGGAGGCUUUCGAUGCACGCUGGGAAGCAUACUUUAGCAGACCUGAUAUCGAUGCAUGGGAGCUCAGAAGGGGUCUUAAUGAGCUCUAUGGCCAUGACCUGGUUCCUGAACCCAAGAUCAUCAAUGCCAUGUUCCAUGCAUGCCGCCGGCUCAACGACUAUGGUACUACCGUCCGUAUACUAGAGGCUGUCAAGGACAAGGCUGCCGGCAACAAGGAAAUCUACCCAUAUAUCUUGCAACAAUGCAAGCCAGUCAUGGAGGAGCUGGGGAUCCUCACACCGGAAGAACUAGGCUUGGCUAAGUAGACACAAUUGCUAUAGAUAAGAUAAGUGGGUUUCUGCUAUUUAGCAAAGUAGACUACACUGCUAUAGAUAAGGUGUUCUGGCAGCUGUUUGGCAAGUUGCAUUUAAUGUGUGAAUACGAUGCCUAACAUGUAAACCUAAUGAUAAUAUUAUGUUACGAGCAUUAUGACUCAAACUAUACUUGUAUAAUUUUACUGUAAAGAAAUAAAAUCAAGAGGUUGUUA